UUGGAGACAACGGUGCUGGAGAUGUAGCCAUCCUGGCGGACAGCCCCAACUCCCCCGUGUGCCGCGGGGAGGACCGGGGCUGUGGAUGUAGAGGGAAGCCAUCUGACGACAUGUGAGUGGAGAGAAAAAAAAUAAAGAGGACCCGUAAAAUUUUUAAAAAUGGACGGGGCCGGUGGGACGUCACGAUGCGCCGUCGCCACAAAGCUCUGUACGCCGCUCAUGAACGCGCUCAUUUGGCUCCCAGCAUGCCGCACGUCCGGAGAGACCAGCGCUUACCAGGAGCUCAGCUGAACCCAGUGCAACACACCCUGCUGCACUCGUGUAGGAGAAAGGACUCACAUUUAAAAGCAACAGAAAGGAAGUCCAGGCUCUUCUCCAACCUCCAGGUGUAUGAGAGGUUGUGUGUGUGUGUGUGUGUGUGUCUGUCUGUCUGCACGUUGCUGGAGGAGAGCGGUGUCCGCAGGCCUGAGGGGUUGUCUGUUAUCUUUGGUUAUCUAGCUGUAUGAGUGACGUACAUUCUUCAUAAAGCUAGAUAACCGAAAGUAACAAGAAUCCCAUUACACGCCUGCACGGGAAAAAGGAAACAACAGAAAUGAGACAUAAAGAAGCAGCACGGGAGGACGGGAGGUGGACAAAAGAUCCUGCUAAGCGAUGACGUGAAGGCUUCAAAUCUGCCUCUCAUUGGGAGACACCGACUAAAAGACUGAGUCAGUGAUGAAGCCCGUUUCACACAGGACUACAACAUCAUCAACCACCGCUGUUAACCUGUAGAAAGCAAACACAGUAACAACUUCUGUCAGCGGACAACCUGACAGUGGACGGUUAAAACUGCCUGGGCUUGUUAAAGGACGCAGAGGUCCCCGUGCGCCCGGGAACAUCGUUAUCAGUCUGACGACAGAGAGAAACAAGAAGACAGAUGACUCUGAAUGAAGUAAACAAACAGACUCUUGAAUACUGUGAGGCGGAAACUCAGAUUGAAGGACGCUACAGUGGACUGUGUGUGUGUGUGUGUGUGUGUGUUUAGAGGGGCUCUGCGCAUCUGUUCAGGAAACAUCUGCGCUAGAUUUUAAUGUAGGUCACAGCUUAGAUUAUUCCCUCUCACACACACAAACACACCAAAAUAAAUCCAUCGCCUCAUCACUGAGAUUUAUGUACAUUUCUGAUAAUUAGAGAAAAAGGAAAAAUACAAACAAAAACUAGUAAAUAUGAAAUAGUAUAAUUAUUAGUAGUUAUGCUAGCAAUUUAUCCCUCUUUAGAUGAGGAUUUUAACAUUAGAAUAGAAUUUAAAUUUCUUUCUUCUCAUUAUUGUCUUUUUUUUUUAACCUUAAAAUAAAUUUGUCUCAUGUAAAACUCUGUUUCAAUCAAACUGUCGACAAUCAGUUUGGCUGGAUUACUUGAAACAAGCUAAAUUUGAUAUUUUAGUGCAAUGACAAAUGUUUUUUAUUUUACCUGGGCUGCAAGCAUCAAGUAAGUUCUUUGACAUUUAUGUCCAUCAACAUUACGUCUAAUAAGUAAGUAAUGUUUAUUUAAAAAGCGCCUCUCACAGACACGUGGGUACAAAGCGUUAAACACAAAUUAGAGUAAAAUAAACAACAGUCACAACAACAGUGUGCACGCAUUUUUAACAGUAUCAUUUGGUGAGUGUAUAUGAGUGUUUUUUAUGCUUCUGUUUAUGACGGGGUUUCUCAAAAAUGUUUAAAACACACUAAAUAAUUUGGAUUGAAGCUCUUGUUCACUGUACACUCCUUAUGUUAGCAUUAAAAAAAGUGUGUUUUUUUAUGUACAAAAAGGGACUGUGGGGUUGGCGCUACCUCAGUAAUCUAUUAUUAAUCUUUAAAUUGCACUCUGAUUAUGAUGCACACUUUUAAAAUCAAGGUAGUUAUUAUCGCAGCAGGAGGUAUUUUGUCCAAUCAAAACGACUUAAUGUUUACUUUUUAUCUAUGCAAAAGAAAGCGAGUAGGUGGCGUUAGAUUUGCAUUAUUUGUGGAAGUGUUGUGCACACGAGUACUGAUGCUAUAUUUGCACAAUAGCACAUAAUGUACGCGUUUAGUUUGAGUGAGAUGAGCCCUAUAUGAGCACAGGUGCAAUGUGUGUGGCCGGAUGUUGCUGAAAAGCAUUUUUUGUUCUUUUUGUCAGUCGGGGUAGAAACAAUUAGUGGGAGAUGUGUGGCGUUCAGUAAUUGCACUGUCAGUCUCAAGACACUGAAAUCUGCGUUUGUUAAACAUUUCAUUUGAGUCAAAUCAGCUUUUAUGACAAUCUGAUACGACUGCUCAACUGCACUGGAUACUGUUUUGUUUUAAUGUGGAGAAUUUGAGAGAAUUUGUGCAAUAUGUUGUGUGUAUGCAGCAAAAAACUGUAUUAGAAGGAGUAAUGUGGAUGACUGUAACAUUAUGCACUAUAAACUACUGUCUCAGGAGUUUUGGAAGCUUAUUUUGCACUUGAGCUACUUUGUACUAUGCAACUGUUUCUAAAUAUAAUCAAUAAAAGUAUCCAUGUUUACAGUGAGACAAAAACAUGGACUAUAUGUGGGU